rnacentral:SRP_RNA from 1 species
UCGUGCUAGGUGGGGUGUUAGCGGUACCCUGUAUCCGAAAUCCGCUUAAGCGGGACCGAAUGUCUCCUGAGCCUCCCAGCUCUGGUAUGGGAUGGAGAAUUCAGGGUUAUGAAGGUUGGGUCCUCCAAAGGCACUGUUCACAAAUCCGCCAGGUCCGGGAGGAAGCAACGGUAAGUGGAAAAAGAC